GCACGGGGAGAGCGCGCGGAGGCGGCGGGACGAGGCCGGAGAGAGUCGUACCGCUCUGCGGAGCGCGAGACUCAAGGCAGCUAGAUGUGUGACAUUUCUUCAGAAUUCAUCCUGGAAUCAGUUACGCCAAAGAAAAUUUUCUGAAAGCUACACAGAUCAUACCACUGCAACUCAGCCAACCAGCACAUCGGACAGUGGGAGGAAGAAUUCUUGGCUAAGAGUACUGAG